GAUGAACGCUGGCGGCGUGCCUAAUACAUGCAAGUCGAGCGGACAGACGAGGAGCUUGCUCCUCUGACGUUAGCGGCGGACGGGUGAGUAACACGUGGAUAACCUACCUAUAAGACUGGGAUAACUUCGGGAAACCGGAGCUAAUACCGGAUAACAUGUUGAACCACAUGGUUCAACAGUGAAAGACGGUCUUGCUGUCACUUAUAGAUGGAUCCGCGCCGCAUUAGCUAGUUGGUAAGGUAACGGCUUACCAAGGCAACGAUGCGUAGCCGACCUGAGAGGGUGAUCGGCCACACUGGAACUGAGACACGGUCCAGACUCCUACGGGAGGCAGCAGUAGGGAAUCUUCCGCAAUGGGCGAAAGCCUGACGGAGCAACGCCGCGUGAGUGAAGAAGGUCUUCGGAUCGUAAAACUCUGUUAUUAGGGAAGAACAAAUGUGUAAGUAACUAUGCACGUCUUGACGGUACCUAAUCAGAAAGCCACGGCUAACUACGUG
rnacentral:rRNA from 1 species